rnacentral:rRNA from 1 species
UACGAAGGGGGCUAGCGUUGCUCGGAAUGACUGGGCGUAAAGGGCGCGUAGGCGGCUUGCACCGUCAGAUGUGAAAUUCCUGGGCUUAACCUGGGGGCUGCAUUUGAUACGUGUGGGCUUGAGUGCGGAAGAGGGUCGUGGAAUUCCCAGUGUAGAGGUGAAAUUCGUAGAUAUUGGGAAGAACACCGGUGGCGAAGGCGGGUUACUGGGCUGAUACUGACGCUGAUGCGCGAAAGCCAGGGGAGCAAACGGG